UCAAACUUGGUCAUUUAGAGGAAGUAAAAGUCGUAACAAGGUUUCCGUAGGUGAACCUGCGGAAGGAUCAUUACCGAGCGAAGGGGCUCUGCCCCGGCUCCCAAAACCUUGACCACCGACCUUCGUUCCCUCGGCGGGCCAGCCCGGGACCUUCCCGGGCUACCGGCUUAGCGGCCGGUCCGAGCCCGCCAGAGGACCGCAAACCCUUUCGAACCUGGUAGCUUCUGAGCACUUUGGAAUGAAUCGCGAAAACUUUCAACAACGGAUCUCUUGGUUCUGGCAUCGAUGAAGAACGCAGC
rnacentral:misc_RNA from 1 species